UUUGCGGGUAAAGACGGCAAGAACAUAGGACUUCCUUGUUGUUUAUUAUCCAGUGUCGGAAGCCUCUUACAUGGGGUUACAGCCCUCAACCUGAUCAGGCUUAUCAUCCUGGGGAAGAGACUAAGGGCCUGCUUUAAAUGCAUAAGGGUGACUUCUGGUGUGUGUGUGGGGGUGGGGGGGGGGGUGUAGGAGGAGAAAGGAGGGACCAGCCACACUCACUCCCAGGAACAACGACGCCCUCGGGACCAGUCCCGCAAUUCCAAGAGUGACACAAAGAAAUGGGGGUUUAGAAGAACGAAUCGGACGACUUUUAAGAGCCCAAGAGACUAUUCUAAAACUUUUAACUUCUCACUUAGACAUGAUAACAACAUCUUGAAAAAGU
rnacentral:sRNA from 1 species